rnacentral:rRNA from 1 species
CAAAGGUUUGGUCCUGACUUUACUAUCAACUCUAGCUAAAUUUACACAUGCAAGUAUCCGCACGCCCGUGAGAAUGCCCUACAGUCCCCCGCCCGGAAACAAGGAGCUGGUAUCAGGCACACCUAUAUGACAAGCCCAAGACACCUUGCUUAGCCACACCCUCAAGGGAAUUCAGCAGUGAUAAACAUUAAGCCAUAAGUGAAAACUUGACUUAGUUAAAGCUAAGAGGGCCGGUAAAACUCGUGCCAGCCACCGCGGUUAUACGAGAGGCCCAAGUUGUUAGUUACCGGCGUAAAGCGUGGUUAAAAUAAACAUAUAACUAAAGCCGAAAACCUUCAAGGCUGUUAUACGCAUCCGAAAGUAAAAAGACCAAUUACGAAAGUAGCUUUAUUUAUUUGAACCCACGAAAGCUGUGGCACAAACUGGGAUUAGAUACCCCACUAUGCCCAGCCGUAAACAUUGAUAGUAAGAUACAACUACUAUCCGCCCGGGUACUACGAGCAUCAGCUUAAAACCCAAAGGACUUGGCGGUGCUUUAGACCCACCUAGAGGAGCCUGUUCUAGAACCGAUAAUCCCCGUUCAACCUCACCCUUUCUUGUUUAUUUCCGCCUAUAUACCACCGUCGUCAGCUUACCCUGUGAAGGCCCUAUAGUUAGCAAAAUUGGCAUGGCCCAAAACGUCAGGUCGAGGUGUAGCGUAUGAAAGGGGAAGAAAUGGGCUACAUUCACUAUCUCAGUGAAUACGGACGAUAUAUUGAAAUAUACAUCAAAGGAGGAUUUAGCAGUAAGCAGAAA